GCCUGGCUAUCUCAGUAGGUAGAGUGUGUGACUCUUGAUCUCAGGGAUGUGAAUUCAAACUCCAUGAUGGGUG
rnacentral:tRNA from 1 species